GUAGGUGGCAAGCGUUGUCCGGAAUUAUUGGGCGUAAAGCGCGCGCAGGCGGUUCUUUAAGUCUGAUGUGAAAGCCCACGGCUCAACCGUGGAGGGUCAUUGGAAACUGGAGAACUUGAGUACAGAAGAGGAAAGCGGAAUUCCACGUGUGGCGGUGAAAUGCGUAGAGAUGUGGAGGAACACCAGUGGCGAAGGCGGCUUUCUGGUCUGUAACUGACGCUGAGGCGCGAAAGCGUGGGGAGCAAACAGGGAUUAGAUACCCUGGUAGUCCACGCCGUAAACGAUGAGUGCUAAGUGUUAGGGGGGUUUCCGCCCCCCUUAGUGCUGCAGCUAACGCAUUAAGCACUCCGCCUGGGGAGUACGGCCGCAAGGCUG
rnacentral:rRNA from 1 species